rnacentral:rRNA from 1 species
GUGAGGAAUAUUGGACAAUGGGCGCAAGCCUGAUCCAGCCAUGCCGCGUGCAGGAAGACGCAUCUAUGGUGUGUAAACUGCUUUUGUACGGGAAGAAACACUCCCUCGUGAGGGAGCUUGACGGUACCGUAAGAAUAAGGAUCGGCUAACUCCGUGCCAGCAGCCGCGGUAAUACGGAGGAUCCAAGCGUUAUCCGGAAUCAUUGGGUUUAAAGGGUCCGUAGGCGGUUUAAUAAGUCAGUGGUGAAAGCCCAUCGCUCAACGAUGGAACGGCCAUUGAUACUGUUAGACUCGAAUUACAAGGAAGUAACUAGAAUAUGUAGUGUAGCGGUGAAAUGCUUAGAUAUUACAUGGAAUACCAAUUGCGAAGGCAGGUUACUACUUGUGGAUUGACGCUGAUGGACGAAAGCGUGGGGAGCGAACAGGAUUAGAAACCCCGGUAGUCC